rnacentral:rRNA from 1 species
GGAGGGCAUCCUUCCGGGAUUAGAGGAGCGAUCCGGCUGCGGAUGGUCAUGCGGCGCAUUAGCUUGUUGGCGGGGUAACGGCCCACCAAGGCGACGAUGCGUAGGGGUUCUGAGAGGAAGGUCCCCCACACUGGUACUGAGACACGGACCAGACUCCUACGGGAGGCAGCAGUGAGGAAUAUUGGUCAAUGGCCGGGAGGCUGAACCAGCCAAGUCGCGUGAGGGAAGACGGCCCUACGGGUUGUAAACCUCUUUUGCCGGGGAGCAAAGGGCGGGAUGUGUCCCGCGUCGAGAGUACCCGGAGAAAAAGCAUCGGCUAACUCCGUGCCAGCAGCCGCGGUAAUACGGAGGAUGCGAGCGUUAUCCGGAUUUAUUGGGUUUAAAGGGUGCGCAGGCGGGAUGUCAAGUCAGCGGUAAAAUCGGGAGGCUCAACCUCUCUCAGCCGUUGAAACUGGCGUUCUUGAGUGGGCGAGAAGUAUGCGGAAUGCGUGGUGUAGCGGUGAAAUGCAUAGAUAUCACGCAGAACCCCGAUUGCGAAGGCAGCAUACCGGCGCCCGACUGACGCUCAUGCACGAAAGCGUGGGUAUCGAACAGGAUUAGAUACCCUGGUAGUCCACGCAGUAAACGAUGAAUACUCGCUGUGCGGC